rnacentral:rRNA from 1 species
CGGCAACAGCUCAGAUUUGAAAUCUGGUCCUUGGACCCGAAUUGUAAUCUGCAGAGGUAGCUUCGGGCGCGGCGUCUUCUGAGUCCCCUGGAACGGGGCGCCAUAGAGGGUGAGAGCCCCGUACGGUCGACCGCUAAGCCUAUGUGAAGCUCCUUCGAC